CCACUUGAAAAUGUUUAACUAAUAGUUCAUAAUAAAUCUGAAAAAGGGAAUUCUCCUCAUACCCUCCUACCUCUCCCUCUUCUUUUUCUCUUCCUCCUCCCUCUUCUCUCCCCCCUCCUUCCUCCUCCUCUCCUGCCUCCUUCCUCUCUCUUUCUCCUUGCCGUUAUCUUUUGAGCCACAAAAUGGCCAACUGGCUUACAGCAGGGCAGCAUUGACAGUUCCCCAUUCUGUGCAAACACCUUUGGAGCGAAUCCUGUGGCAGGGAAGAGAGAGCAACUAGCUUCCUGAAGUCUCAGCCGGGUCUGUUAAUGAACGCUGCUGGCACUGUAAUUUACAGAUGGGAUUAUGACAUUCCCACCUCUACUCAGGUCCUGCUUCCUCAACUCUCAGAGUGAAUCCUGCCAUGAGCAACACGCCAUCCAUCAGCCCCUCCCAACCCACCCUAAUGGAGUCUUCCUUUUCACCUCCUCCUGGAUCUCCAGGGCAGCUUUUCACUCGCCCUUCAUCAGUGAACUUCAUGGAACGGCUCUCAGAAUAUUCUACCAACCCCGUAUUUUCUGGAACAUUGUAGUGAGCUUCAUGCAGAUUGUUGAUCUCUGUGCUCCAAAGAGCUCAGCAAAUUCCCCAGGCUCAGCCCAUGUGCUCUCGACUUUUCUAAUGUCCACCUUGAGACUUAUCUAUCCCUAAAAAUAAUUUAAAAGCACAGGAAAGGAUAAGGUGGAGAAGAAAACCCAAGAAGAGCAAAUUUACUCCUUCUGUGUUUACUGAGUAAAAAUCUAAACAGCCCUAGGGCUCCACCAAACAAGGGUGAGACUGACACAAUGAUUUAAAUGACAUGGUCAAACAAAUAAAUAAAAAGGCGUAAAGGGGAGGUUUGAUAUC
rnacentral:lncRNA from 1 species